GAGUUUGAUCCUGGCUCAGGGUGAACUGCUGGCGGUGCGUCUAAUGCAUGCAAGUCGAGCGAGAACCUCGGGUUCGCCCGGGGGGAAAGCGGCGAACGGCUGAGUAACGCGUGAGUAACCUGUCCCUGAGUGGGGUAUAACCUGGAGAGAUCCAGGCUAAUCCCGCAUACGAUCCCCGGACCCUGGUCUUGGGAGGAAACCCGCUUGCGGGGCUCUAGGAGGGGCUCGCGUUCUAUCAGGUAGUUGGUGGGGUAACGGCUCACCAAGCCGACGACGGGUAGCCGGUGUGAGAGCACGACCGGCCAGAGGGGGACUGCGACACGGCCCCCACUUCUACGGAAGGCAGCAGCAGGGAAUCUUGCGCAAUGGGCGAAAGCCUGACGCAGCGACGCCGCGUGGGGGAAGAAGGCCUGCGGGUUGUAAACCCCUUUUCCGGGGGAAGAGUAAGGACGGUACCCCGGGAAUAAGCCCCGGCCAACUACGUGCCAGCAGCCGCGGUAAGACGUAGGGGGCAAGCGUUACCCGGAAUCACUGGGCGUAAAGGGGAUGCAGGCGGCAGGGUUAGUCGUCCGAGAAAGGUCUCGGCUCAACUGAGACAGCACGGGCGAUACGGCCCCGCUUGAGACCAGCAGAGGCGGGUGGAAUUCCCGGUGGAGCGGUGACAUGCGUAGAGAUCGGGAGGAACACCAGUGGCGAAGGCGGCCCGCUGGGCUGGUUCUGACGCUGAGCUCCGAAAGCGUGGGGAGCGAACAGGAUUAGAUACCCUGGUAGUC
rnacentral:rRNA from 1 species